rnacentral:rRNA from 1 species
AGAUUGAACGCUGGCGGCAUGCCUUACACAUGCAAGUCGAACGGUAGAGUAGCAAUACUCGAGAGUGGCGGACGGGUGAGUAAUAUAUCGGAACGUGCCCAGUCGUGGGGGAUAACGCAGCGAAAGCUGUGCUAAUACCGCAUACGAUCUAUGGAUGAAAGCGGGGAUCGCAAGACCUCGCGCGAUUGGAGCGGCCGAUAUCAGAUUAGCUAGUUGGUGGGGUAAAAGCCUACCAAGGCGACGAUCUGUAGCUGGUCUGAGAGGACGACCAGCCACACUGGAACUGAGACACGGUCCAGACUCCUACGGGAGGCAGCAGGUAGGGGAAUUUUGGACC